rnacentral:lncRNA from 1 species
AUUACAAUUAAAAUUUCAAAGACAAAAUAAAAAUUUGCGUGGAGGGGUAAAAUUGUAAAAUUCCCGCAGGCGAGACGCGGAUCCCGGAUCCUACACUCUUAUCUUUUGCGUCUGUGAAUUUGACCCGAUGAGAUUCUAUAUUUCCUAUUGGGCUUAGAUAUUUCCUACAGGCCCAUCGUUAAUCUCUUUUACUUCAAAUUUCCGAAUCUGCAGUAGAUAAUACGAAAUAAAAACAUUAGCAACACAAAUCAAACAAUACCAUAACUAUUUUUCCGGAUCAAUCAACUACUCUGUAUAUUGCCUUAACAAACAAAUCUCAUAAUUUACACUUCCUAAAAUAAAACGUAUUUAUUUCUAUUCCAUAUAAUAACAAAUCAAGCAUAUUCUUUACUUAUUCUAACUCGGGAAUAAGUUAGCAAUUACUUUUUUGAUUAAUUACACUCAAAUCUCGAAAAAAUCUUACCAUAUCAAAGCAAACUAUCAAUGCCAAUUUAAAAAUAUCUCUUUAAAUGCAAAACUCAAUCAUUUAUAUUGCUCUAUAUUGAAAGAUAUAGAAUUCUAACUUAUUAUAUUUCCCUAAUUGCUUGGUAUUAUAAAUCUCAUAAUUUACACUUCCUAAAAUAAAACGUAUUUAUUUCUAUUCCAUAUAAUAACAAAUCAAGCAUAUUCUUUACUUAUUCUAAAUCGGGAAUAAGUUAGCAAUUAAUUUUUUGAUUAAUUACACUCAAAUCUCGCAAAAAUCUUACCAUAUCACCGCAAACAAUUCAUUCCAAUGUAAAAAUAUAUAUGUAGACAGCAAAUUAAAUGCAAAACUUAUUAAUUCCUAUUACCCUAUAUUAAUAGGAAAGAUACAGUAUUGUAACUUAUUCGAUAAUUAGACACAAAUCUCGCAAAGAUCUUUCCAUAUCAACACAAACUAUCAAUGCCAAUUUUAAAAAAUUUCUUUAAAUGCAAAACUCAAUCAUUCAAAUUUCUCUAUAUUGAAAGAUAUAGAAUUCUAACUUAUUAUAUUUCCCUUAUUAGUUGGUAUUCAAAAUCACACAAUCUCUUCAAUAUCCAUAUUCAGUUCGAUAUUGAUAUACCAAACAAAUAAAUCUCCCUAAAUCAAGCAUAUACCUUUAAGAUCCUAAUCCCAAAUUAUAUUAUACGGCCUAUAUUCUCUAAAACCUAAUAAAACUAAAGGCUCCAUACGAUUACUAUAAAUAUAGGGACCUGCAUUAGAAAGAACUCACCUUUCAAAGCUUUACCAUUACCACUUCACUAUUUCUCUAACAAAAUGGCAGCUGUUCAAGCAUUCACCCCUCUUGCUGACAUUAAGCCCUUCAAAACACAUUGGAAAAUUCAAGUUAAGAUUGUGCAUUCGUGGACACAAUACACUCAAUUCACCGGGGAGACAGUUGAAAUGGUUCUUGCUGAUACAGCUGUAAGUAUAAGAACUAUCAUUUUUCAACAUAUUAAACAUUUAUCAAUCAUCAAUAUCACUGGAUGAUUAACAUGAGUUCUUUUUAUCUGUUGCCAGGGUACUUUGAUUCAUGCUACUGUUAAGAAGCCACAAGUGAGCAAACUGCAAAGGUUCAUAGUUUCUGGAGAAUGGCGUAUUAUCGAGCAUUUUACGCUAACCAAAUCAACAGGAAAGUAUCGAGCCACAAAACAUGGUUUCAAAAUGUCCAUGAUGGAAAAAACUGUGAUAAGUCGCACUCCUGCUGUUUCUGAUGACAUUUAUGUGGAUCUGGCAAACUUUCCAGAUAUUUUGAAUGAAGCAGGAUUGAGUGAAAACAUCUUAAUUGGUACUAUAUCUAUCUUACUUUCCAUUGUAUAUUUUCUUUUUCUAUUAUAAUAGGAACUUCUUCAUGAAAAUAUAAUUUAUUACUCUCUUAUUUUGCAGAUGUACUUGGACAGGUAGUUAGUUUCAAUGAAAUGAAAAUUCAUGAUGUUAACAACAAGAUCACAAAGAGACUUGAGUGUGAACUCAGAGACACAAAGUAAGUUUAAUCAUGAAUCUACCUUUUUUAUAUAAUCUUACAUACAUCUAAACUUAAAACUUUCUCAAUAUUUUUGUUGUAUUGUAGUGAUGAAAGGCUGAAAUGCACUCUUUGGGGGAGAUUUGCUGAGGCAAUGUAUAAUGCAUGUCAAAAUGCAGGGACUGAGAGAGUGAUUUGCUUGCUUCGGCUUGCAAAGAUCAACUCAUUUAAAGGUAUAGAAUGUUGUUACUGGGAAUAAUGCAUGAUUUUGAAAUCGAAAUGAAAUCAGAACAUAUGUGAAAAUACUAAUAUCAUGCUGUUUUUAGGUGAAAGAGCUGUUUCAAAUUCAUUUGAUAUGUCUCUAUUGGAAAUCAAUGCUACCUACCCUGCUGUUCUUGAGUUUGUGGCCAAGUAAGAUAUGUUUAAACAUCACUUUUCUUUUACUAAUAUAGAUAACUGUGAAUCCUAUUUAUAAUAUCUAAAGUUGAUUUCGUUUUCUUUUAUUUGUUAAAAAUAGUUUACCACCUGAUGUUAUUCCACUGACGAUCGAAGACUCGAAGGCAAAACAAGUGAAUGCAGAACAGAGAAAAAAGGAUUACUAUGAUCGUUUUCCAAGGAAAACCAUCUCUGGACUCUUUUGUUUUUCUGAGGUAUUUGUAUUUGAUAAUAGUAUUUUUCCUAGCAACUAUUAAAUUCUCUGUCUAUACUGCUAAUUAUCUAUUUUUUUGGAAUAGACUGGAAAGUGCAACAUAAUUUGUACCAUAAUGAAUAUCGACACAGACUAUUCUUGGUAUUUCUUUAGUUGCCUCAAGUGUAGCAAAACUGCCUAUAAGAUUCCAAAGGUUGAAAAUGAGAUUGUCAAGAAAGGCAAGAAAGAAAUGUUUUGGUGUCCAACAUGUAAGGAAGACACUCCUAAGGUGAUACCAAGGUAAGACUUUGAGAUUUGCUAAUAUAUAUCUACAUUUGUCAGAUAAUAACUAUGUACCUAAUCUACUUUCCUGUUCCUUUGAUAUGUAGGUAUCUUUUAAACGUUGGAGUGAUGGAUAGCACUGGAGACACUAAAUGUCUUAUCUUUGAUAAAAGUGCACAAGAGAUAAUCGGUGUGUCUGCAGAGGAUUUGCUGGAAGGGAAGUGGGAUGAGGUAAACAAAUUUGUUGUUAAUAUGUAUAUAGACCAUAUUAUUCAAAUAUCUUAAAUACUUUUUUCAAUCUAUCAUAACAGAUUCAGGAUCCUACAAACUUGCCUCAGCCAAUCAGAGAUUUGGUUGGAAAGACUUUCCAGUUUCUGGUGACUGUUGGAAAGGAAAACAUCAAUGAAACUGAUGAUACCUACAAGGUUUCAACCGUUUGGCUGGGUAAUGAAUCUGACAAUCUAGAUACUAUUGAAGAUUCUGACCAGCAGACUGACCAACGUAAUGACCUCUCUAUUGAUCAGGUAAUGUUAGUAGGUGCAACCAAAAUCAAUCUAUCAAAAAGUUAUUCAAGUUUAUCACUAAAGGGCUGGAUCGUGUUUCAAUUAAAUAGUGAGUACCAUCAGUUAUACUCAAGUCAGGGAAUAAAUUAUGGAUACUUAUAACUAUAUAAUUUAAUGACUUUGUUAUAUGAAAGAUUAUCUAUUAUAUAUUGACUAUCCUGAUUUUCUUACUUACAGGAAGGACUUGCUCUGACCAAUAGUGGUGAAACCACUGACCCUUUUGGUCCUACAUCAUCCACUCCUUCAUCUAAGCGUAGUAUGGAUGCAGUUUCUGAGGACAUUGAAGGUUAGGGUUCUACUACUAAAAAGGCAUGUGUCUCUUCCCUUCUUGGUGACAUUGAGAAGGAAGAGAUUGAAGGUGGCAAGAAUUAAGUUGUGCUGGCUGGGAAUAAUGUAGGGAGCUUGGCUGUAGCAAUUAGUUUUCUAUUUUUUUCUUUUGUUCAAGUUUCAAAACUUAUUUAGUUUUUUCUUUUAGCUAUGUGCUAUUUAAUUCUCAGUUAUUUUGAAUUCAAGCAAUAAACUUGAAGCUUCUCCUUAUACUAAACUCUUUGCAAAAUAUAAACUAACUUAUGCUUAAACUAAAGAUCACAAAACAGAAAGAGAAAAUAUACUAACCUGUGCUUUGUACUGAUGAAUUUUCAUAUAUAAGCCCCAUUACUGUAGCUAACACUGCAGAUAAAAGAAAACACAUAUUAGUAACAAACAUUGAGAGCCUGCGAUGAAUCUAUACUAAUCUGACGAUAUCUAUACUAUAAAUGGCUAACUUAAUUAAUAUGUGAGAUAUAUAAGUACAUAUAUUUUAAAGGGCAUAUGUGCAAAUAUUUUAAAGAUCUUAAGCUAUUAAAAUCUAUCUCCUAUUCUAAAUCGUUAACAAAUUGGAAUAGUAUAGCAGUAUAGAUAAAUCAGUUUUAAAAGGGUUCAUUGUUGUAGUAUAACAACUGUUUUCACGACCAAACUGGCAUAUUUAACCUAUUAAUAUACAAGAUUCUAUGCUAAAAAUAAGAAUAAAUCAAUUAGAUUUUAUUAUGAAUAUGGAAAAGAAAAUAUAUUCUGUAAUCUUUUCAGUUUAAUGCUAUCACACUAAAUCAGGCUGAGACGAUUUCUUUAUAAUCAUUACAUAACCAUUUAACACCUUCAAUCCUAAUCUAUAGCUACUCGCCUCAUUAGCAAAGAAACAUCUAUAAGGUCAGUCUUUUAAUCUCUUUCAACAUAUAACAUGUUCAUUGACAAAUGACAUAAUUGGAGAUUCGUUUUUCCUCACAAAUCUAUUUUGUUUUUCAGAAUGAAGAGAAGAAAAAAUGAAACAGUAAAAGAAAAUAACAAUGUAAUGCAGACACCUAACACAAAGCGUUCUAGGUCUCAGCUACAUGAUGAAAACAUAAAUCCAAAUCUACAGAACCAACAAGAUAGGAGUGAUGUUCAAGUAAAAGGGAUUUUUAAUCGAUUGAGAUCUGGAAUAGGUAACAUACCAGCCCAGCAGUGUGAUUCUGAAGCCUUACAGACAGUAACUGGUCCUUCUUCUUCUGCAGCCAUACAAAAGGAAACACAAGGUAUGUAAACAUUUAUAUUCCAACAAUAUAGCAUCUCCAUAUGAUGCUAACUAAUAAAUAACCAUAAUGUAUAGGAUUUGCAUCUACAGUUACUUAUAAUACGAGUGUAAGAUCAGCCAAAAAAACAGCAAGGACACAGAGAAGACCUUUUCAAGAUGUGCAGAACAUUAUUAAUACAUCACAGCUUCACAGCGAGGUUCACCAAACUCCACUUAAUCCACAUAAGCCACCAGAAAAAAAGGGGAAAAAGUGGAGUCCACCAUCUGUUAAUAGCAAACAAGGUAUACAUGCCUCUCAAUAAUAUGAAACUAUUACAUAAAAAGUAUUAAUAGAUCAACACUGAUGGAGUAAUGUUUAUUUCAUGAAGCUGCUAAGGGUAUUAUACUUACCAAUUCAAGAAUCAAUCUGAGGUUCCCAAAGUCUUUGGCAAAGGAGAAGAAAACAUCUCACAAGAGUUAUGAUACAACAAUCGAAGAAGACUCUGAUGAGAUCCUGAAUUCAAAGGAAGAAACAUAUAUUAAUAUGAGUAAGUAAAAAUCAUUAUGAUAUAUUUUCUAAACUUAAUAAAGCAUCCACUAAUCAGGGGAAAAAACUAUGAUAGGUGAUUUGGAGGAAACACGUGAACAGGUUUACGAGUGUAGUAGUCCAGAUGAAAAUGAUUCAGAAACAUCUGAAGAUUAUGAAACCAUAGACGAUAUCCCAAUCGAAGUCAAACAAAGAUAUGAGUUUUUAUCAAUGUUAGAUGAAAGUUUGACCAAAGCUUUUGGAGAAAGAAAAACUCCUAAUGUUUCUAGCAGAAAGAACAAAAACACAGGUACUACAUCAUUGGUUUAUUUCUAAUUCUUUUCUUACACAAACUUUACUUAUGCUAAACUGUCUUUCUGUUAUUGUAGAGUAUCUAGAUCAUGGAGAUCCUGUCUACUCAUGUUCCUACUGCGGUGCUAUUAUGUGGUAUGGCGAACGCAUCAACAGACAUAAGAAAGUUCGUAAACCAAUUUUUACUCAAUGUUGUCUGCAAGGAUCUGUGAAACUGCCUUUCCUCCAUAAUCAACCAGAACUGUUAUUUGCUUUGCUAACCAAUGAUGAUGACAUGAGUAGACACUUUAGAGAGAACAUCCGAGCAUAUAACAUGAUUUUUUCAUUUACUUCUCUUGGGGGUAAGUGUGAUAAUUCUGUUACAGCGGGAAGGGGUCCUAAUAUGUUUCAGAUACAAGGAGAGAAUUACCACCAGAUGGGAAGUUUGA